rnacentral:rRNA from 1 species
AGGGGUUCUUAGUGGAAGGUCCUCCACACUGGCACUGAGAUACGGGCCAGACUCCUACGGGAGGCAGCAGUAGGGAAUAUUGGUCAAUGGGCGCAAGCCUGAACCAGCCAUGCCGCGUGCAGGAUGAAGGCUCUCUGAGUUGUAAACUGCUUUUGUACAGGAGCAAAAAAAUCCCUGCGGGGGUUCUUGAGAGUACUGUAAGAAUAAGCACCGGCUAAUUCCGUGCCAGCAGCCGCGGUAAUACGGGAGGUGCAAGCGUUAUCCGGUUUUAUUGGGUUUAAAGGGUGCGUAGGCGGCUUAUUAAGUCAGUUGUGAAAUCCUAGUGCUUAACGCUA